AGGUAAAUGGCAUGUGCAAAAGUAAAAGUACUAAAGCUCAAGUGUUCAUUGUCUAAAAAUUGUUUCAUUCCCCCUGAUAGGAUAAGGCAUGGGAAUCUGCCAAACAGUUCGGACCAAAUCCGAGAGAAAGCUAAAAAGCGCUGUUUGAUGAGCCUGCGUAGUAUUAGGUAGUUGAUCAGGCAAAGGCUGACCAAGCCAAUGAUGCUUAGCUGGCCUUUUCAGAUGAUCAGCCACAAUGGGACUGAGACACAGCCUGGACUCUCACGGGGGGCAGCAGUGGGGAAUCUUGGACAAUGGGCCUUUUAUUUUGCGCGACCCUUGCCU
rnacentral:ncRNA from 1 species